rnacentral:rRNA from 1 species
GACGAACGCUGGCGGCGUGCCUAAUACAUGCAAGUAGGACGCAGUUGCGAACGGGUGAGUAACGCGUAGGUAACUACCUAUUAGAGGGGGAUAACUAUUGGAAACGAUAGCUCAUACCGCAUACUAGUAGAUGUACCUGCGUUGUAUUAGCUAGUAGGUAGGGUAAUGGCCUACCUAGGUAACGAUACAUAGCCUCCCUGGGAGGGGGGUCGGCCACACUGGGACUGAGACACGGCCCAGACUCCUACGGGAGGCAGCAGUAGGGAAUCUUCGGCAAUGGGGGGAACCCUGGACACGCAACGGCGCGUGAGUGAAGAAGGGUUUCGGAUCGUAAAGCUCUGUUGUUAAGGAAGCGGUACUUAACCAGAAAGGGACGGCUAACUACGUGCCAGCAGCCGCGGUAAUAC